CCUACGGUGGCGCUGCAGUGGGGAAUAUUGGACAAUGGGCGAAAGCCUGAUCCAGCCAUGCCGCGUGUGUGAAGAAGGCCUUCGGGUUGUAAAGCACUUUCAGUGGGGAAGAAAGCCUUGGGGCUAAUACCCUCGAGGAAGGACAUCACCCACAGAAGAAGCACCGGCUAACUCCGUGCCAGCAGCCGCGGUAAUACGGAGGGUGCGAGCGUUAAUCGGAAUUACUGGGCGUAAAGCGCGCGUAGGCGGUCUGAUAAGCCGGUUGUGAAAGCCCCGGGCUCAACCUGGGAACGGCAUCCGGAACUGUCAGGCUAGAGUGCAGGAGAGGAAGGUAGAAUUCCCGGUGUAGCGGUGAAAUGCGUAGAGAUCGGGAGGAAUACCAGUGGCGAAGGCGGCCUUCUGGACUGACACUGACGCUGAGGUGCGAAAGCGUGGGUAGCAAACAGGACUAGAUACCCGAGUAGUC
rnacentral:rRNA from 1 species